rnacentral:rRNA from 1 species
CGAUAUCGAGAGUUUGAUCAUGGCUCAGAUUGAACGCUGGCGGCAGGCUUAACACAUGCAAGUCGAGCGGAGACUUCGGUCUUAGCGGCUAACGGGUGAGUAAUACCUAGGAAUCUGCCUAUUAGUGGGGGAUAACGAUCGAAAGGUUCGCUAAUACCGCAUACGUCCUACGGGAGAAAGGGGGGGGAUCUUCGGACCUCUCGCUAAUAGAUGAGCCUAGGCCGGAUUAGCUAGUUGGUAGGGUAAAGGCCUACCAAGGCGACGAUCUGUAGCUGGUCUGAGAGGAUGGCCAGCCACACUGGAACUGAGACACGGUCCAGACUCCUACGGGAGGCAGCAGUGGGGAAUAUUGGACAAUGGGGGCAACCCUGAUCCAGCCAUGCCGCGUGUGUGAAGAAGGCCUUCGGGUUGUAAAGCACUUUAAGCGAGGAGGAAGGUUUUUAGUUUAAUACACUAAAGAAUUGACGUUACUCGCAGAAUAAGCACCGGCUAACUCUGUG